AAUAUGAUACAGUCUCUAAGAGUCGAGUUGUUUGGGAAUGCAGCU
rnacentral:rRNA from 1 species